UACGUAGGGUGCGAGCGUUAAUCGGAAUUACUGGGCGUAAAGCGUGCGCAGGCGGUUUUGUAAGCCCGAUGUGAAAUCCCCGGGCUUAACCUGGGAAUGGCAUUUGGGACUGCAAGGCUCGAGUGCGGCAGAGGAGACUGGAAUUCCUGGUGUAGCAGUGAAAUGCGUAGAUAUGUGGAGGAAUACCGAUGGCGAAGGCAGCCUCCUGGGCCAACACUGACGCUCAUGCACGAAAGCGUGGGGAGCAAACAGG
rnacentral:rRNA from 1 species